rnacentral:rRNA from 1 species
AACGCUAGCUACAGGCUUAACACAUGCAAGUCGAGGGGAAACGACAUUGAAAGCUUGCUUUUGAUGGGCGUCGACCGGCGCACGGGUGAGUAACGCGUAUCCAACCUGCCCACCACUUGGGGAUAACCUUGCGAAAGUAAGACUAAUACCCAAUGAUAUCUCUAGAAGGCAUCUGAAAGAGAUUAAAGAUUUAUCGGUGAUGGAUGGGGAUGCGUCUGAUUAGCUUGUUGGCGGGGUAACGGCCCACCAAGGCAACGAUCAGUAGGGGUUCUGAGAGGAAGGUCCCCCACAUUGGAACUGAGACACGGUCCAAACUCCUACGGGAGGCAGCAGUGAGGAAUAUUGGUCAAUGGACGAGAGUCUGAACCAGCCAAGUAGCGUGCAGGAAGACGGCCCUAUGGGUUGUAAACUGCUUUUAUAAGGGAAUAAAGUGAGAGUCGUGACUCUUUUUGCAUGUACCUUAUGAAUAAGGACCGGCUAAUUCCGUGCCAGCAGCCGCGGUAAUACGGAAGGUCCGGGCGUUAUCCGGAUUUAUUGGGUUUAAAGGGAGCGUAGGCCGGAGAUUAAGCGUGUUGUGAAAUGUAGACGCUCAACGUCUGCACUGCAGCGCGAACUGGUUUCCUUGAGUACGCACAAAGUGGGCGGAAUUCGUGGUGUAGCGGUGAAAUGCUUAGAUAUCACGAAGAACUCCGAUUG